CCUACGGGAGACAGCAGUAGGGAAUAUUGCUCAAUGGGGGAAACCCUGAAGCAGCAACGUCGCGUGGAGGAUGACGGUUUUAGGAUUGUAAAACCCUUUUGUGAGAGAAGAUAAUGACGGUAUCCCACGAAUAAGCAGCGGAUAACAACGUGCAAGCAGGCGUGGUAAUACGGAGGGAGCCAGCGUUACUCGGAAUAACUGGGCGUAAAGGGUGCGUAGGGGGGCUUGUAAGUCAGAUGUUAAAUCCUGUAGCUUAACGCACGAACGGCAUUUGAAACUAUUUGUCUAGAGUGUGGAAGAGGUAGGUGGAAUUCUUGGUGUAGCGGUGAAAUGCGUAGAUAUCACGAGGAAUACUCAUUGCGAAGGCGGCAUACUGGCACUUUACUGACGCUCAUGCACGAAAGCGUGGGGAGCGAACAGGAUUAGAUACCCCGGUAGUC
rnacentral:rRNA from 1 species